rnacentral:rRNA from 2 species
AGACCCGAAACCCGGUGAUCUAGCCAUGGGCAGGUUGAAGGUUGGGUAACACUAACUGGAGGACCGAACCGACUAAUGUUGAAAAAUUAGCGGAUGACCUGUGGCUGGGGGUGAAAGGCCAAUCAAACCGGGAGAUAGCUGGUUCUCCCCGAAAGCUAUUUAGGUAGCGCCUCGUGAAUUCAUCUCCGGGGGUAGAGCACUGUUUCGGCUAGGGGGCCAUCCCGGCUUACCAACCCGAUGCAAACUGCGAAUACCGGAGAAUGUUAUCACGGGAGACACACGGCGGGUGCUAACGUCCGUCGUGAAGAGGGAAACAACCCAGACCGCCAGCUAAGGUCCCAAAGUCAUGGUUA